CACAGUGCAGCAGAGAGGCCAGAACCACCACAGCAGAGCCAUGGUGAGCAGGAGCAGCAGGAUGAGCAACACGAUCCCCACAAAGGUCCCAUCAGACUGUGGUCAUGAUGUCACUCAGUGUUAAAUCUCAGUGGUCCAGUCCCAGGUAUCAGCUCGGUGUCCUGAUCGAAGCAUUUUUUAAACAAAACAGAUAUAAAACAUCUCACUGUAAAGAAGAAUGGGAAGGAUAGAUGGCAAAAGCCCAGGACAUCACUGACAUCUGAGAAGUCCUGAGCGUUUUACCAGCCGAUUCAAAGCCAAGGAAGACGGCGCUGAUGAUGACUAAAGAGGAAGAGGAAGAGGGCUGACGUCACAGUGGCCCACACAAACUCUCUGGCUCUCGCCCAUCCGUAUGCUGACAGCCCAAAUACGUUCAACACAGUUACGUCAAAGGCAGCAUAUUAUAUAACCAGGGGUAGGACUUUAGUAUUGGCUUUACUUGUUUGCCAAAAUUAUUCUAUUUUUUUAUUUAGUUUUGAUGCUUCAUCCUUAGUUUUUCCCACAUAGCUUACUGUUUAUAGUGACAUUAGUCUUAUUUCUAAAAAAUAAAAUAAAUAUUUGAAUGAACUUGUGUUUCCGCAUAUUUAGUUUGAAUUCAAAGGUUUUACAAGUAAAGCAAAUAAAUGAGGUU